rnacentral:rRNA from 1 species
AGAGUUUGAUCAUGGCUCAGAAUCAACGCUGGCGGCGUGCCUAACACAUGCAAGUCGAACGCGAAAGCCCCGCAAGGGGUAAGUAGAGUGGCGAACGGGUGAGUAACACGUGGGUGACCUACCUUCGAGUGGGGGAUAACGUCCCGAAAGGGACGCUAAUACCGCAUAACAUCCUGCUCUUGAACGAGUGGAGAUCAAAGCCGGGGAUCGCAAGACCUGGCGUUUGAAGAGGGGCCCGCGUCUGAUUAGCUAGUUGGUGAGGUAACGGCCCACCAAGGCGACGAUCAGUAUCCGGCCUGAGAGGGCGGACGGACACACUGGGACUGAGACACGGCCCAGACUCCUACGGGAGGCAGCAGUGGGGAAUUGUUCGCAAUGGGCGCAAGCCUGACGACGCAACGCCGCGUGGAGGAUGAAGGUCUUCGGAUUGUAAACUCCUGUUGCCCGGGACGAAAAGUUUCGACCUAACACGUCGAGAUCUGACGGUACCGGGUGAGGAAGCCCCGGCUAACUCUGUGCCAGCAGCCGCGGUAAUACAGAGGGGGCAAGCGUUGUUCGGAAUUACUGGGCGUAAAGGGCGCGUAGGCGGCCUUCUAAGUCGAACGUGAAAUCCCCGGGCUCAACCCGGGAACUGCGUCCGAUACUGGAAGGCUUGAAUCCGGGAGAGGGAUGCGGAAUUCCAGGUGUAGCGGUGAAAUGCGUAGAUAUCUGGAGGAACACCGGUGGCGAAGGCGGCAUCCUGGACCGGUAUUGACGCUGAGGCGCGAAAGCCAGGGAGCAAACGGGAUUAGAUACCCUAGUAGUCC